rnacentral:rRNA from 1 species
GCGAAUGGAUUGAGAGCUUGCUCUCAAGAAGUUAGCGGCGGACGGGUGAGUAACACGUGGGUAACCUGCCCAUAAGACUGGGAUAACUCCGGGAAACCGGGGCUAAUACCGGAUAAUAUUUUGAACUGCAUGGUUCGAAAUUGAAAGGCGGCUUCGGCUGUCACUUAUGGAUGGACCCGCGUCGCAUUAGCUAGUUGGUGAGGUAACGGCUCACCAAGGCAACGAUGCGUAGCCGACCUGAGAGGGUGAUCGGCCACACUGGGACUGAGACACGGCCCAGACUCCUACGGGAGGCAGCAGUAGGGAAUCUUCCGCAAUGGACGAAAGUCUGACGGAGCAACGCCGCGUGAGUGAUGAAGGCUUUCGGGUCGUAAAACUCUGUUGUUAGGGAAGAACAAGUGCUAGUUGAAUAAGCUGGCACCUUGACGGUACCUAACCAGAAAGCCACGGCUAACUACGUGCCAGCAGCCGCGGUAAUACGUAGGUGGCAAGCGUUAUCCGGAAUUAUUGGGCGUAAAGCGCGCGCAGGUGGUUUCUUAAGUCUGAUGUG